AGUUUGAUCCUGGCUCAAAUUGAACGCUGGUGGUAUGCUUAACACAUGCAAUUCAAACGGUAACAGAAGGUGCUUGCACUUUGCUGACGAAUGGCGGACGGGUGAGUAACGCGUACGAAUCUACCUAUCUGUGGGGGAUACCACUUGGAAACGACUGUUAAUACCGCAUAAUACCUGAGGGUUAAAGGUGGCAACUUGUUGCUGCCGCGGAUGGAUGACCCUGCAUUACAUUAGCUUGUUGGUGGGGUAAAGGCCUACCAAGGCUGCGAUCUAUAGCUGAUUUGAGAGGAUGAUCACCCACAUUGGAACUGAGACACGGUCCAAACUCCUACGGGAGGCAGCAGUGGGGAAUAUUGGACAAUGGAGGAAACUCUGAUCCAGCAAUACCAUGUGUGUGAAGAAGGCUUUCGGGUCGUAAAGCACUUUAGUCAGGGAGGAAGGUCUUGUCGUUAAUAGCGGCAGGAAUUGACGUUACCUGAAGAAUAAGCACCGGCUAACUCCGUGCCAGCAGCCGCGGUAAUA
rnacentral:rRNA from 1 species